CUUCCAUGCUCUGUUAUCAGAGCAUAAUUCCCUACGGCUGCUCUAACAGUACAUGCCCAAAGUUAAUUAGAGACACAGAGCAUCCCGUCG